rnacentral:rRNA from 1 species
AGGACGAACGCUGGCGGCGUGCUUAACACAUGCAAGUCGAACGGAAAGGCCCUGCUUUUGUGGGGUGCUCGAGUGGCGAACGGGUGAGUAACACGUGAGUAACCUGCCCUUGACUUUGGGAUAACUUCAGGAAACUGGGGCUAAUACCGGAUAGGAGCUCCUGCUGCAUGGUGGGGGUUGGAAAGUUUCGGCGGUUGGGGAUGGACUCGCGGCUUAUCAGCUUGUUGGUGGGGUAGUGGCUUACCAAGGCUUUGACGGGU